rnacentral:rRNA from 1 species
CGCAUCUGUGCAUGCAGCAUAUCAAUAAGCGGAGGAAAAGAAACUAACAAGGAUUCCCCUAGUAACGGCGAGUGAAGCGGGAAGAGCUCAAAUUUGAAAUCUUAAAGGGUUUCCCUUUACGAAUUGUAGUUUAAAGAAGUGUUUUCUGUUGAGGUUUUGGUAAAAGUUCUUUGGAAUAGGACAUCAUAGAGGGUGAGAAUCCCGUAUUUGACCUUUACUUUCAACUUUGUGAUACACUUUCAAAGAGUCGGAUUGUUUGGGAAUGCAGUCCAAAAUGGGUGGUAAAUUUCAUCUAAAGCUAAAUAUUGGCGAGAGACCGAUAGCGAACAAGUACCGUGAGGGAAAGAUGAAAAGAACUUUGAAAAGAGAGUUAAACAGUACGUGAAAUUGUCAAAAGGGAAGCGUUUGACACCAGUGUUGCUUUUUCUGAAAAUCAAUUAAAGAACUGUUUAUGCUAAGCUGUUUAGACUUUAUCAGCUAACUGUUUAGUUUUGAGCUUUUCUUUAAUGCACUUUUCAGUUAACAAGUCAACAUCAAUUUCUUUUGCUGUAAAAAAGCUUGAGGGAGGUGGCUUGAGAUUCGUCUUAAGUGUUUAUAGCCUCUUGCCUAUGCAGUCGGAGAGAUUGAGGUCUGCAGCGUAGAUCCUUCGGGGCUAAAUGCAUUUGUGCUAAGUUAUAGCAUUUUAUAGACAACUUGUUGACUAUGAUUUGUCUUGUAGCUUACUCGCUUAUGUUAUUUUACCUACGCUUAGGAUGUUGAGUCAUCACACAUCUCU